AUGCACGCUGACAGAAUGCUUAACACAUGCAAGUCAACUUGAACUUCGGUUUGGGUGGCGGACGGGUGAGUAACGCGUAAAGAACUUGCCUCACAGCUAGGGACAACAUUUGGAAACGAAUGCUAAUACCUGAUAUUAUGAUUUUAGGGCAUCCUAGAAUUAUGAAAGCUAUAUGCGCUGUGAGAGAGCUUUGCGUCCCAUUAGCUAGUUGGAGAGGUAACGGCUCACCAAGGCGAUGAUGGGUAGCCGGCCUGAGAGGGUGAACGGCCACAAGGGGAAUGAAAACCGGCCCUUCCCCCUCCGGGGGGAAGGAGUGGGAAAUUUUGGAAAAUGGCCCAAGAGUCUGAACCAACAAUUCUGGGGGAACGAUGAAUUUUUUGGGAAUUUAAAGUUUUUUCAGUUGGGAAAAAAAAAAUGACGGUACCAACAGAAGAAGGAACGGCUAAAUACGG
rnacentral:rRNA from 1 species